GGCUUUUUUCGCAGCGGAACUCGACCGCCCCACGACGAGAUGAUCCGCUUCAUCGACGAGCACAGGGAUCAUUUCGGGGUCGAGGCCAUCUGCCGCACUCUG
rnacentral:ncRNA from 1 species